UCUUGGUCACCAGCCACUUGCUCCGCCAUUGUUUUGGUCACCGAUUGGCUCGAAAUCAAACAGUGUUGAUUGAAUUGCUUGCAGAGGUCUCGUCUCGAUUGUCAAGAUCAAUCAUCUAGGUGAAGAAAUAUUACAGGUGCUCACUGUUAUUGAAGAGCUCCAUUCGAUCCAAAUACACUUCUUGGGAUGGAUUCCUCUAAUAACCAAGCUAAUAAUGAAAAGGAUGCACCAGCUUCACCAAGGGAUUCACAGGGUAAAAAAAGGAAGGGUAGAGGUUCCACAACUCUACCCGAGAUUAUAAAAAAUAAGAGUGUCGGUAUACGAAUAGUCGUUCAAUAUGAUGAGGAGGGUCGACUAGUAGGGAAAGAUCAACCAAAGUUUAUGAGUUAUCUUGGAGUUCUGGCUCGAACAAUAGUCCCGGUAAUUCAUAAAGAUUGGCAUCAUGUACCAGAUGAUUUG